rnacentral:lncRNA from 1 species
UCCCCGGCCUUGUCCUGGUUGGCUGGCGCGGGACAGGAUCCGGUAAACUGAACAGCGUCUCCUUGUGGCAAGUGCGUGCGUACGUGCGUGGCGACGUCACUGCGUGGCUUCGUGAAUACGUGGCUUCCUAGCGAUUUGGCGGUGUAUAGGCGUGGCUGAAUACGGGCCUCCUGCGUACGUGCGUGGUGUACGUACGUGCGUGAUUACGCGCACACGUACGUUCCUCAUGAAAGGGACGACGGGAGCUGCAUGAAAGCCGAAGUUAUGGACCGCUAGCAUCUGUCACUGGCCACCGGUUUCCGGGAGUAAGCGGCAGCUACCUUACAGCCCUGACACGAGCCGGGUGCUCUCUCUUCUCACCGCGGCCCACGUCUCCUCGCUGGCUCCGGUGGCCUCGCUGGGUCGCGAGGAGGCGGAGGACUGUACUCUGAGGCCAAAAGCCAGAGUCGGCCCUGAACGCCCACGACUCUCAGGGUCCAGAGGCCGUGAGACCGGCCGCGGCUGAAAGGUACCAGGGCCCCUGAUGCCGGAGCCCGUGUGCUCGGCCCUCUUGCAGACGGUAAAGAAACCAAGUGGAAGAGUGUUUCCUCC